CUUACUAUCAAAUUAUUAUAGUUAUAUACUUAUGGCUAUGGCGCUGACUUUGAAUAGCUUGGCGUAAGGAGAUGUUUAGUGAUGCUUUCUGCAAGUUUUUGAUAUGUCUUGGGUGCUGUUUCAUGCUUACGGCUACUGCUGCUACUGCUAUUGUCUCUUUUGCUGCAGCAUGAGGUUGUUUAGUAAAACUUGUUGGUAACUCCUUAUGGUAAUUCCUUGCUGGUAUGGGGGUUGGAUAUUAGGACCAAUUGCUACUGCUGACUUCCUCAAAUUCAUUUUUAUUAUUCUGUGAUUAAUUGAGAGAUGGGGUAUGUGAUACAAGGAUGUGAAUCUAUGUGCUUGCUGCUGCUCGAAUUCUUCUUUAGUUUCACAUGUCACUGAUUUCUUUGGUGCUCUGAUGUGGUGUGUCCUGAGUUCCUAAGGUUCAAGAUACACUGCUGUGUUCAGGUCUAAUUAUGCAGACUUUGUUAUGCACUAUGAGGACUGUGGAAUGGUCAUUUGCGGGUGUCUUUGAGGUGCUGAUGUGUGGUUUAAUACUUGAAGAAGUGUGCCUUGUCUUGGAUCACAUCUAUGAAUCUAUGAUGGUUGCUGAUUGUUGUAUUCUGUUUUUUUCUUUUCUAUUAGCUUUAAAUUAGAUUUAUUUUGCUGUCCUUUUAUGUAUGUGUUGCUUGAUGUGAGUUUCUUAGUGUUUUUUAUGACUCUUUAUUUGACUUUCUUUUUUGACUCUUUGUUUUAAGCUUACUUGGGAGAGCUAUGUUCCCAAGUCUCUUUUAUUAUAUCUAACUUGAUUAUCUUUUCAAAAAAAAAAAAUAGUAAGAGUCAUAGAGUUUCUGAAUCUUCUUUCACUGUGUUGUUGUAUCAGACUUUCAGUGCAGCAAACUCUAUCCACUUCCACCCCAGGUAAAGUUCAUAUAUUUUCCAAUUCUAAUAUGUUUUUAUGACUAUUUUACCUAUGUCUAUGAAGCAUUUUCCUCUUUUGCUGCAUGUACCUUAGUGUUGAACAUGUGAUCAUUUCUUAAGUUUCUCACUUUGCAAAUAGGAAACUGCAAUUGAGGACCUAUUGGGGUUGUGUAUAAGUCAGUGGACUCAACUAUUCCAAAGAAAUUUCCUAUAGGUAUUUCCUUUGGGCUUUCUGUGAUAUUGUGUGUGUUUUGAGGUUUAUGCUUCCAUUUUGAGGGAGCAGCUGAUCUGGAAAAUAGAGCAGAUAAGCUCUCAAAGGGCCAAGAAGAGCAUAAAAAAGAAUACCAGACAAUUCACAACCAAUUAACUUGGUUGGGAGAAGAAUCAGUAGCAAGCUGGCCAACAGACAAUUUCGUCUAUGAUAGAGGAAGAGAUGGAGGCCAAUCCAUUUAUGACGGUUGAUCUACAUGGCAUUUAGGUUCAUUACCUCUCUAUUCCCUUUUUAAAGUGUGAAACAAAUAUAUAAUUUCUUAUCAAUUGGAGGGAGGAUUGAAGUAAAUACUUUACUGAUGCCUUUAGGAGAGUAUAUUGGUGGCAAUAAUUAUUUGUAUCAAUAGGUUUCUUUGGCCUCUAAAUUUCAAUUCAGGAUUAUGCCUAGAUUUUAUAUUGCAUUAAAAUCAAUAUGAUCAAACAAGAUCAUAAGCUACUGCUUAUCACUUAGCAGAUUAUCACUAAUAACACUUAGGUUUGCUAAGCUGAUAUAAGUCAAAUCAUCCUGUUCACGAAAGACCUAUCAUUGUUAAAAAUUCUUUCAUUGUUCUUUUGUUCAGGAGCUGUGUUGUUAUAACACUUAGGUUUGCUAAGUUGCUUUUAGGGGAAGACAUUUCAGGUGCAGGGAAUGGUGUUUCUUCUACAUUGGCUUUGUCAAAUGCCAUAACAAACCUGAUUGGUAUAUACCUCAUAUAAUGCAAGUUAAACUAAAGGGGCUUUAAUGAUAUGCUUGAUAAUGUGGGUUUCUUCUUUACUUUGGAUACUGCCGUGGGUAAUUUAUCUCUCUUACAUUGUGUUUUAUAUAUGAUUUUCUGCAAAUGAAGUUUGUAAGAUAAGCUUUUUGUUAUAUGCAAAAUUAAUAACCGAGGUAGAAAUAUUUUUGUUUUUGCAGCUCUGGGCUUGGAUAAUCUAUAUAUGGAGUAUUGAAGAUUGAUGAUACAAAUUAUAGGUUCUCAUAGAAAUAUGGUUAUGAAUUGAAUAGUGUUGUUAGAACUAGAUAGUGUCCUCAUUCAUCAAGAAUUUCAAUGGUUCUUGGACAUGCCCAUGUGCUAUGAACUUGAGCCAAAUUUACUUUUUGUUGCUUUUGUAUUGAACCAAAUUUACUUUUCUAAUUGUUGAUCCUACUUCCGAUGUUCCUUUUCUCUUUUGCUUACUUUAUGGCUCGAAAUUUGCUUUCUUCUGAACAUUCUGCGGUCCUUACAUCUUUUUCCUCCUUUAUCUGAUUUUGUUGCCCUUUUUUCUACUUUCCUGAACAUGAACACGCAAGGUGAAAACUUUUCAACAUGAUUUCACUUUUCUGCACCAAUUCAAGUCAGACGUAUACUUUGCCUGAAUUUUCCCAAUAUAAGGUACUCCAAUUGGACCUCUCCCUCCUUCCCUUCUCUCUCUACCUCCUCUCUUGGCAGAGUCCAACGGUGUUGACAUUGAAAAGCUGAGGAUACUGGUGAACCCAACGUGUUCUGAAAUCCAACGACGACUUGAAAUCUCUCCGGACAUGAGCGAUCUUAUCUGAUGUGAGUUUCUUUCACUGGUAAGCUAAGUGAUGUGAGUUUCUUUCUACUGUUUUAUUGCUUUUUCCUAGAUAGAUUUAUAUUAAAUUGAUAAGUUUUAUCAAUAAUUAUGAGUGCUCAAUUGCUCAUAUAUCAACUUCGAUUUUGACGCUUUGUUAAAUGUGUUGCUUUAUGCUUCUUAUUGCUAACAGGUAUAUACUGUCGCUCAUUUUUUCAAAUGAGUCAUUUUUUUUCUUAUGCUUUUAUCUGAAUAGACUAAUAAUGUAGGUGUAUUUCCAUGUUAUUUAGCUUGAAGACAAAGAAUGAAUAAAAAUCUCCAGUCUUUAUGAUGCACUAUGGCAACCUAAAAGGUAGAGGUCAGUGAAGAGUUUUGGCUGUGUGAUUUUACCCAGGACCAAUUUCAUUCUGUUAAUUAGGAGAAAGUUGUGGGAUAAGAAUCACCUUCUUUUUUAUUUGUUGAGAUUUUAUAUCGUCUGGCUGUCUUUUUUAUCAGUUCUAAGUUUCUUUCAUAAACCAUUUCAUUUAUCUUUCUAUAUCAAUUUUUUUUUUGCAAUGUCUUUCUAUUUUUGUAGGUUGUCACGUAUUGUUAAUGUUCCUUAUGUUUCUUUGGUUAAACCAAUGUAAUAAUGCCCCAUUGACCCUUAAUCGGGAUAGCUACUGCAAAUAAGACAAACUACUUAAAUUUCUUUCACCUGUGUAAUCUUUGCCUUCGAGUAACAUUAGAGAGAGACAAUGAUCUUCAUGAAUGCUUGGUUUGUGAAAGCUAUUCUGCUUCACUUCAUCUUCAUGCCAAAGAAUGGUUGGCUUUUAGGUUGUUCCUAAUGGCAAGUUCUUAGUUUCGAUUAAGAGAAAUUGGUACUACUUUAUUGGUUGUAGAAUGAAACCUGAUGUGGAAGUUUCUUUAGCUACCCCAGAUGUAAGGUCAGAGAAUGAUGUAGGCUGAUAAUUUUAUCUUCUCUAAGAACAAGUGUGAUUCAUACUGAUGUUACAGAUUCUGAGAGAGAAAGUUACUUACAUUCUUUACUCAAUCUUGAACAAGAAGACUGUGAGUGGCUAUGAGAUUCAAAACCUGACGGAGUUUCAUAUGAUAAUCCUUCAACCCCUUCACAAACGUGAUGGUGUAAAAUGUAAAUAGUUAGGUUGGAUUGUGGUUUACUACUGAAAUAUGAUUAUAAGAACUCUCAUUUAAAAUUUUGGUGAUUUUGUUUUGGAUAAAUUUUGGUGAUUAUUAUUACUAAGCAAACAUCCAGUGAUGACCAUUAACUUAUCUAUUUUUUUUUUGUUUUUUUACUUGAUUUCAGGCUCUGAAGAAUAUGAACACUUGCUUUGAGCGUGCAAUUCGAAACUGCAUUGCACUUCUAUGCUAAAGGUAGGUAAUUCUUCUUUACAUAAAUGCGAUUGAGAAUUUGUGAUAUGGACAAAUGAUUUAAAGGAAAAUGCAUGUGCUUAAAACAAGAGUCAUAUUAAGAAUGAGAUUUUCUGCUAAACAUAAUAUUUUGAAUCAGUUAAGUGUUGAUAAUACCCUUAGUAAAAGUUGACAAAGAUGGUUUCUGCGAUAAAGCAAAGGUAGAUGAUAAGUCCUUUUCUUUCAAUUCCAUUUUCAUUUUCAGUUAGUCUAAGCAUCAAUACGUGCUUCUUUUGGUAGAUUGUAGAUAACUUUGGUUCAAGGUAAAGAAACAAAAUAUGGAUGAUGGAAAUACUGAGCUUUCUGAUAAGCUUUCAGAUAAUGUUCUGUUUUCAAAUCUAGAGUCAUCUAGCAAUUUUCAUGCUUCAACAUCAGUGAAUACAGUGACUGAAUUGUCAUGCACCCACACUCAUACUUGCAACCCACCUGGCUCUGAUUCUACUCACACACACACAUGCUACCACACACACACCUAUUUCCUAUAUAAGGCACUCCGAUGAAGAUUUUUAUGGUACACACUCAGACCAGCACACACGAAGAUGAAGAGGAAAAUAUUGGGUACCAAUAAGCGAAGUGGUGGUGCUGGAGGCACUGAAUGAGGGAUUACUAUUCUUCUUUAUUCAUCUCAUGCGGUGACCUCGAAGGUUUGUUUCCUUUGAAUUCCCAUACUUUUAUGUUUCUUCCAUCUCAUAGCAAGAACUUUCAUUUCAUUCAGCAGCAGCAUGAACUAACUAUGGAUUAUUGGAUUUCAUUUGGAACUAGCAGAAACUAACAAGAAGCACGCCAUAAGGCUUCCUGUCACUAGGUCUUUUCUUAUUCCAAUGCAACAAAUUUAACUUUUCCAGAAAAACCUUUUCUUCACACUAAAUAAAGAAAGAAAGCUUACUGAUAUUUAUAUGUGAUCCUUUUCUACUGAAUUUUGGACUUGAACUUGGCUCAUAUGAAACCCAUUUCAUAUGCAUAUGUUAGUAAACAUAAUUUCAUUAUGGAUAUACUGUUGGCAGACCCUUAAAUCAACAUUAUUGGGUCCUUGAUUAGUUGUGUUUCUUAUAUCUUCUAUGUAUAUUUUUUCCUGCACUAUUAUGAAGUCCAAAAUUUGUAUUUUUGUGAGUUUGUGUUUUAAGGUUUAUAUUUCCUUUUUGGUAUAAUUGAUGGAAACAGAGUAAUUAACAAGGAGUGAAAUCUAAAUCAGAGCGCAAGUAAUCAGUGGAGAAGAAAGAGAAAUCAACAAGAGGCAAUCAAAUCAAAUGAUCAAUUAACAGUGUAGGCAUUGCAGUGCGAUUACCAAAGAUAGAAAGAACUCUGAAUCAAAUUACAAGGAAAAGGAUCGCGCAUUAAUAAUCAACAUGGGCAUAUAGCUUUAAUAUGAUAUUCUUUUCCACUGCAAACAUUUAUUUUGCUUAUUAGAAUGAUCAACAUAUAUUUAUAUGCUUGCUUGAUAUAGAUAUUAUAAAAGCCAAAAUAAGGAAAUCACAAUAAUCCUCCAUUACAAUCCAUCACUUCUCUUCACCUGCGAUUAUGGUUUUUCCCUCCACGGAUCCACAAGAUUGGCCCCUCCAAAACCAAGCGAUCUCCUCCAUUAUGUCCUUCCCUACAAUGCCCCAUUAACACUUCAGUUCACAUCCCGUCUACCAUGGCCAGUAAGAGGACAUUUCUCCCAUAUCUAUUGUCAAUGACGAAAAUGGUAUGUGUUUUACUGACGCCUUUGGUUAUUUUGAUUUUAUUCAAAUAUCAAUCACCUUACAUGGGCAUGAUCUCAUUUGAUUCUGAAUUGUGGAAGGUUUUAUUGUCUUUACUCAAUUGUCCCAAACAGGAUGCUAUAAUUUUUACCUGAAGGUUGCAAUUUUUACCAAUAUAUUUUAUUGGUAUGAAUUUCUUUCAAACAUUAUGGUUUACUUGGAUUGAAUGGUUGUGAAAAGUUUACUUACUACAACAGGUUGUCAAGAACUUCCAAUUCCGGAUCACAUAGACAUUUAUCGCCUAACUAGGGAAAAUGAAGCCUCUGACAUGUUUGGAAGUUGUCAUAUGAUAAGGAAAGGCUGACAUCGGAAAAAGAACUUGAAACUUUGGAAGCCGAGUGUUGGUUUUGCUGCAUGGUUGCUAUAGAUGAAUUAAGUUGAGAGUGGUAUGGGGUUGUUAAAUUGUGGUGUAGUAGUCCCACUAGGAUCCAAGUUUGUAGGAUGUCAUGUAACUGCCUAUUCAACUAUGUAAUUUGUAUUAAUACUUAUCUAAUAAAGUGUACAAAUUUUGUAGUUGA